CAAAGAAAUUGAUAUGGUUUAGCCAGAAACUGAAUCUGGCAUGUGUUGCAAUCUGAAAUGAUGUGCUUACCCUGCUUGGUCUUACAGAAGACUAUUUUUUUUUAGAGGUAAAUUGGAACUAUUGCAGAUUUCAGUUUGCCUAAAAUAAUUUUCUCUGCUGGAUGGAACAGAUUAUUACAAGGAUCACGCUGUCUUUCACAGGAUGUAAAGCCUCCUGAAAUUGCUAUUCUGUCAGUGUUGCCUCUCUUAAUCCUAAAACAUUUCAUCAUGGAAGUACUGUGGAAGUACAUGGGUAUAUAAUCUUGGAAUUACUGAACUUUGUUUUGCUUCAAACUAAACUUGAUCCUCAAAAUUUUUGAAUGAUAAAUGAAUGUCUUAUCCUUGGAAAAAUGGUUGCCUGGUUCACAACUGGUAUCAAAUUUUGUCUUUGGUUUUUCUUCAGCAAUAUCUCCUCUGGGUAAUACAUAUUUAGAAGAAAUGGAUAAAACUUUAAAAACGACAGUGUUUUUGUUAUCUUGCAUUUUGAGAUUUUAUUAUUGUUAUUUCUGAAUAAUAAGUUAAAAUUGUCUUGGCUUCUUCAUGAGCAAUUAGGUUGUAUAUUCUGAGGUAAUUAAAUAUAAAGUGUCCUAAAAAUCACCACCCACAGCUUCACCAAAAAAUCACCACCUACAUUUUAUCUGCUGCUGCUGUGAAAUGAUGUGAUCAUUUAGUGUUAAAAUUAAUUUUGAAUUGCUAUCUUCCUUCUACACUUUCCACUGUGGAGUCUUUUCUUCUUUGGUUGUGAUUGUUUCUCUUUCUAAAUGUAUGAUAAACAAUUUUCAGUGCAGUCUGAGAGGAAGGCAGAGUCUGGGUCUGCUGGUCAAUGAGUGAACACUUGGUCCAUUCUUCUUAUUGUUCUUUAAAGUUUACUGUGAAUAGAUGCAUUCACUUCAGUAUGACCACUCACAACAAAAUGUACUUUGUCGUGAAGACUUGUUCCUUCUGGUCAAAUAUGCUAUUUAUUGAACAUAUUGAUUUCUAAUAGUAAAGGAUUCCCAAGUAGUAAUUUCAAGUGGUAAAUUUUACGCCUGAAUAAUACCGAAGAAACCAAAAAACAUGUCCCUUUUCCUAGGUCAAGGAUUUAAUUCCAGAACUUAUUUUGAAGAAAGUAUGGUCCAUAAAGACUUCAAUAUCUAUUCAUGUUAGUGCUGAAGGAAAAAUAAGUACAGCGGUAUGCAAUGAGUAACAUACAUGUAUUUUCUAUGCUAUUUCCCACUGGAAAAAAGUGCCUAACACUCUCUGACUUAAAAAAAAAAAAAAAAAAAAAAAAAAAAAAAAGGCAAACAAAUCACCACCACCAAAGAAAAAACUCUCUUCCACCUUUUGUUUUUCCCUUUAAUUUUAGUUUGGGUGGUAUCUCUGAUUCUUCUCUCUCAGAGGCCACACAAAGAUAUAAAACAUUGAUAACUCCUGCAUCCUCCUCCUGCAUCCUCCAUCACCCUUUAAGAAAGCAUAGAUACUACCAAGGAAAUAAAUUUCAAAGUAUCAGAAAAAAGAAUUAAUGUUUAUGUGGUUUAUUUUUCCCUUGAGUUGAUCCAUUGUUUCCUGGGAUACACAUUUUACUUCUCUGCUUUUGUGCAUCAGAUGCAGAGGAGAUAACGGAGUCAUUUGGAGGCAACGGGCUGCAUCGACUCUCAGCCCCUCAGCAAAUCAAAAUCUUAAUGAUCCUCAACUCCUUUGUGAACUUAACUGUGUUUAAAAAUGGAGUUAGAGUGCUAGUGCCAGCAGAAGAAUGCAGACUAUAUAAACAUAAACUGUCAGUUUUAAGAAUGGAAAGUUCCUAAUUUGUAGCAUAUAUUUUGAUUGUUGCUUUAAUCUCAAACUUUGGCAUUUUUUUAAAUUAAUUUCUUCAUUCAAACUUUGUUUUUCAUUGUGAAAUUAAUAAGUAUUAAUAACUACAUUACAAUCCUUUGAAUAAUGUUUACAGAAUAAAAUUAUAAACGAGAAAAAGAGAAAUUUCCUCCAUAAACAAAGGAAAAGGGAAUGUCAUUAUUUUCCUUAAUUUUCCUUCAGAGAAUAGGUAUUCAAGGAGCUACAGUAAGUAUGUUUUGUGUUCCAACAAUAUAGUUGUUCUAAAAUUCUGUAUGUAAUUUAUGAAUGAAUCAAUAUAUACUUCUUUAGACACUCGCCUUCUUAGCUACUGUACUCCUGAAGUAUCAGGCAUGCGUUUAAUUUGCUGAAUAUGUGGGACGUACAGUAUAAUGACAUGAAAUGUGUCUCUUGCCAGACAAAGUUAAUGCCAGACAAUUGCACUUAUGCUUAUGAACCUAAUUUUAUUGAAAGAAUAUUCUUUAUAUUAAUUCAAUAAAGACUA